CUAGAAUAGUUGUCUUCUGAGAGGCUCUACCCAGCAGCUGAUGAAACCAAAUGCUGAUACCCACAGUCAAACAUUAAAAGGAGGGCUGCCUUAUCUGGCCUCAGUAGGAGAGAAUUUGCCAAAGUCAGCAGAGACUUGAUAGUACCAUGGUUGGAGGAUACCCAGGGAGGAAAACUGAAUUACCCAGAACCAAACUCCAAAUUUCAAGGAAGAAUCAAGACCAUACUCUUGCACUUGAUGUCCAGGACAAGCAGCCUAUUGCUAUUAAAAUCGCCACUCCCACUCUGACUAAGUUAACAGAAGCUUAACUGACAGGACCAUGGGCAUAGUGAUGAGGCUGGAGAUGAAGAACAGGAGAGGAUGAAGAAGUUCAGUAGAGUGCUUUGACUUCUACAACUAUCAAAAAUGCCCAUCUGACUGUUUAUCUCUCACUCCAGUUAAUGACUCAGGAAAUGGAACUCAACUUGGUACUUACUUUGGAGCAUAGUUGCACACCAAGUACACUGCUCUUCGCCACA
rnacentral:lncRNA from 1 species